rnacentral:rRNA from 1 species
UGCAUAUCCAAAAAGCGGAGGAAAAGAAACCAACCGGGAUUGCCUUAGUAACGGCGAGUGAAGCGGCAAAAGCUCAAAUUUGAAAUCUGGUACCUUCGGUGCCCGAGUUGUAAUUUGGAGAGGGCAACUUUGGGGCCGUUCCUUGUCUAUGUUCCUUGGAACAGGACGUCAUAGAGGGUGAGAAUCCCGUGUGGCGAGGAGUGCGGUUCUUUGUAAAGUGCCUUCGAAGAGUCGAGUUGUUUGGGAAUGCAGCUCUAAGUGGGUGGUAAAUUCCAUCUAAAGCUAAAUAUUGGCGAGAGACCGAUAGCGAACAAGUACAGUGAUGGAAAGAUGAAAAGAACUUUGAAAAGAGAGUGAAAAAGUACGUGAAAUUGUUGAAAGGGAAGGGCAUUUGAUCAGACAUGGUGUUUUGUGCCCUCUGCUCCUUGUGGGUAGGGGAAUCUCGCAUUUCACUGGGCCAGCAUCAGUUUUGGUGGCAGGAUAAAUCCAUAGGAAUGUAGCUUGCCUCGGUAAGUAUUAUAGCCUGUGGGAAUACUGCCAGCUGGGACUGAGGACUGCGACGUAAGUCAAGGAUGCUGGCAUAAUGGUUAUAUGCCGCCCGUCUUGAACC